rnacentral:rRNA from 1 species
UACGUAGGGUGCGAGCGUUGUCCGGAAUUACUGGGCGUAAAGAGCUCGUAGGUGGUUUGUCGCGUUGUUCGUGAAAACUCACAACUCAAUUGUGGGCGUGCGGGCGAUACGGGCAGACUGGAGUACUGCAGGGGAGACUGGAAUUCCUGGUGUAGCGGUGGAAUGCGUAGAUAUCUGGAGGAACACCGGUGGCGAAGGCGGCAUCCUGGACCGGCAUUGACGCUGAGGCGCGAAAGCCAGGGGAGCAAACGGG